UGGCGGCAACUGGAACUCGGAAGCCAGCAACAUCCUGGAAGAAACCGACAGCCUGAAUCUCAAAGAAGCCAGGUAAAUUGGACACAAAGAAACACGUGGUAAUAGCACUUCCUCGCAAAAAAUUGAAAAGGGAAAGGAAUAUGAUGAAGGAACCAGACAUUCAUGCCUUGUUGUUAGUGGAUGUUCAAGUUUUCCUCCAGUCUGUUGGGCUAGAGGAAAGGGAUUAUUUACGGCACUAUAGGUCUAAAGAAAUUGAGAAUCUGCCUAAAAGAUUACUGCACCACACCAAGUGAUGUGGAACAACAUCCAUAGUGCAUGGGUUGCAGAAGAGGUAGGCCUAAUCAGGAUUGGGAGCGUCAUAACAAAGCUUUGUUUGUAUCGGACACAAUACACUGGAUGCAUACCUCAUUAGUGGAGCUGUACAAGUGGGGUGAUGACAGAGGCAUUGAAAAAUUCCUGCAUUAGUUUUUAGAUCGAUCAGUACUGUCCAUGGGAUCGAGAAAAUUUUACUUCAAUAUC